rnacentral:rRNA from 1 species
GGUUUUAUAUUAAUUUAUUGGUUAAUCUAUUGUUAGUAAAGGUAAUUUUAGGAGUAUUGGAAUUGAUUAGAAAUUAAGGAAAAAAUUUUUUUUGGGGAUUGUAAAAGGGUAAGGGAAACCAAGUUAAAGUAAUUUUAAGCUGUUUGUACCUUUGGUCUCAGGGUUUAUUAAAAUUUUUUAUAUAUUUAUAUUUCCCGAAGGAAAAUGGGCUAUAUAUUUAAUAUGGCAUCGUGGUAAAGAUGUUAUGAAUGAAUUUAUAGUAACGAGAUGUUAUCGGAUUUUUGGGUAUCUGGUUCUUAUAAAAAUUAUUAGGUUAUUCUUAGAUAUCUAGGAAUAAGUUUCUUAGGGAUAAGCUUAAGAUUCUAUGACUAUAUAGAAAAAUAGGGUAAUUUUUUUAAGAUUUGAAAGUGGUUAUGUGUGUUAUAACAUACUAUUUUAAUUUGUUGAAUUAGUAGCUUAUAUAAGGGUAUUUUAAAUCUUUAAAUAAUAGUAAUAAUGAUAGAAUUAGUAGAAUAAGAACUUUUAGGUUUAUUAGGUAAUAGGCUUAAGGUAUGUUUUUAAUAGAUAAAUUAUGUAGGAAUUAGGCAAAUAUUUUCCUUAACUGUUUAUCAAAAACAUUUUUUUAAGUUAGGAUUUAAAGUAAAUUCUGCCCCCUGGAAACUAAAGGGCCGCAGUAGCCUGACUGUGCUAAGGUAGCAUAAUCAUUUGGUUUUUGAUUGGGAUCUGGUAUGAAAGGAUAAAUAAGGAGGGUCUGUCUUUAUAAUUGUUUUUGAAUUUAAAUUUUUAGUAAGAAUGCUAGGAUUAUUCUAUGGGACGAUAAGACCCUAUAAAGCUUUACUGUUUAUGUUGUUGAUAUUUUUACUAUAAUGUAUUUUUUAAACAGUUUUACUGGGGCGGUAGCUAAAUUAAACUUAGUAUAGAUUAUGCUUUUUUGGAUCCAUUAGUAGUGAUAUAAGAUUAAGUUACUUUAGGGAUAACAGCAUAAUACCCUUAUGGAGUUCUAAUCGAAGAGGGUGAUUAUGACCUCGAUGUUGAAUUAACUAAAUUUUAAGGUGAAGACGCUUUAAUAAUUAGUCUGUUCGACUAUUAAUUAGUUACGUGAUUUGAGUUCAAACCGGUUUAAGCCAGGUUGG